rnacentral:rRNA from 1 species
UACGUAGGGUGCAAGCGUUAAUCGGAAUUACUGGGCGUAAAGCGUGCGCAGGCGGUUUUGUAAGUCUGACGUGAAAUCCCCGGGCUCAACCUGGGAAUUGCGUUGGAGACUGCAAGGCUGGAGUCUGGCAGAGGGGGGUAGAAUUCCACGUGUAGCAGUGAAAUGCGUAGAGAUGUGGAGGAACACCGAUGGCGAAGGCAGCCCCCUGGGUCAAGACUGACGCUCAUGCACGAAAGCGUGGGAGCAAACAGG